rnacentral:rRNA from 1 species
AGAAUGAACGCUGGCGGCGUGCUUUACACAUGCAAGUUGAGCGAGGCCACCCGCAAGGGUGAGUCGAGCGGCGAACGGGUGAGUAACGCGUGGAUAACCUGCCCUGAGGUGGGGAAUAACCCGGGGAAACUCGGGCUAAUACCGCAUGAUACCAAGCGGUCAAAGAGGGCUCGCGAGAGCUCUUGCCACAGGAGGGGUCCGCGUUCGAUUAGCUAGUUGGUAGGGUAAUGGCCUACCAAGGCGACGAUCGAUAGCCGGCCUGAGAGGGUGAUCGGCCACACUGGAACUGAGACACGGUCCAGACUCCUACGGAGGCAGCAGUGGGAAUUUGCGCAAUGGGCUAACGCCUGACGCAGCAACGCCGCGUGGAGGAUGAAGGUCUUUAGGAUUGUAAACUCCGUGUCAGCGAAGGGAAAAGGAGGGACUAACGUACGUUCCAGACUUGAUUGUACCUGCAGGAGACGACCCGGCUAACUCGUGCGACCAGCAGGCCCGACGGUUA